rnacentral:rRNA from 1 species
AUUGAACGCUGGCGGCAGGCCUAACACAUGCAAGUCGAGCGAGCGGCGGACGGGUGAGUAAUGUAUGGGGACUGCCCGUUAGAGGGGGAUAACUACUGGAAACGGUAGCUAAUACUGCAUACUAUCGGGUUACCUAUAUGGGAUUAGCUAGUAGGUGAGUUAAUGGCUCACCUAGGCGACGAUCCCUAGCUGGUCUGAGAUGAUGAUCAGCCAAACUGGAACUGAGACACGGCCCAGACUCCUACGGAGGCAGCAGUGGGGAAUAUUGCACAAUGGGCGCAAGCCUGAUGCAGCCAUGCCGCGUGUAUGAAGAAGGCCCUAGGGUUGUAAAGUACUUUCAGUCGGGAGGCGUUACCAACAGAAGAAGCACCGGCUAACUCCGUGCCAGCAGCCGCGGUAAUUC